CAUACAUCGAUUCAAUAACAAUGGUAUUGUAGGACAUUGUAAUCGAUUUUUGCACUGAAAAAUGCAGUUAUGUGAAAUUCCCAUUCCUAGGAAUAAUCAGUAAAUACAUAUAAGUAUGUUUAUUGUGGAGAUCUACAAGGAUGAGGAAAAUUCUGCGAUUGAGACGUUGGAUUUUAUUCAUAUUAACAAUAUUUUUAACUACAAUUAAUCUACUGUGGACAUUUUGUUUACUGGACACAGAAAUAAAUUCGCAACGAAUCAAUAAGUCAUUUAACAGAAAUUCAAAGCCGUUCUUGGCAAUAGAAAGUGUCAACGAUGCCACCAUGCCACCGCUCAAUCAAUCAUUGUUACAGAAAAUGCCGAAGCAUAAUUUUAGGCUUGCUUUCGAUAAUAUAAGCUUUGAAACUGGUAGAUGGGACAAUCUUCGCAAUUAUAAGAUGUUUGAUUUUGCUUUGAUUGGAGAUAAAUUUAUCAAAUCUUCGCACGAAAACAUUGUAUGUUUAGCUACCCAAAGUUCAGUGGAACGGUUGUAUUCAUUGACACAAGUUGCACAUCAAUGGAACGGGCCAAUUUCAACCGCCGUGUACGUUGCCGGAGAUGAAGAAUUCUUCAUUUUACAACACUUUGUUACAUAUAUGAGACUUUGCUUCUCAUUUAUACGCGAUAACGUUACUUUUCAUAUUGCUGUUCCAAAUAAUAAGGAACCAGUUCACGGACAAAUUCCUAAUCUCUUCAACAGCUUUGAUUGUCAAUACCCUGAACAAACGCUUCGCCAUUUACUGAAAAUACGCAAUCCAGACACGAUACGUUGGCGUUUAAAAAAUGAAUAUCCGCAAAACCAUUUACGGAAUUUAGCUCGAAAAGGUUGUCAAAAUAAAUAUGUAUUUCUAACAGAUAUUGAUAUAAUACCAAGCACAAAUAUGGUAUCAUUAUUAAAUAAAUUUCUGCCGUCAGCAAAAUGCAGCUAUCGUUGCGCGUAUGUUAUACCAACGUUUGAAAUAGACAACAGAGCUAAAUUCCCUGCUUCCAAGCCAGAGCUUAUGCGUUUAUAUAGAAAAGGUCUAGCACGCCCAUUUCACGAAAAAGUGUUUAUUUACAACCAGUACGCGACAAACUUCUCCAUUUGGCUUAUGAAUUCUACCAAUGAAGAUGAGCGGGCUCAUAUAAGUCAUGUCGUAACAAAUUUUGAGUUCUUGUAUGAACCUUUUUAUGUCGCUUUUGAUGAUGUCCCUGCCCACGAUGAAAGGUUUAUAGGCUAUGGCUUUACCCGAAAUUCACAGGUCUAUGAAAUGUAUAUUUCUGGGUACACAUUUUUUGUGUUAUCCCCUGUUUUUACUUGUCAUUGGGGAUUACAACAAAAAAAAGCGAGACCAGUUUGGCGAGAACAACAAAAUAAUCUGAAUCGAAAGCGUUUUGAGAUGUUUAAACAUGAAAUUCUCGCCCGAUACAAAAAGUAUUCAAAAAUUGUGUUACAUUAUCUUGAACUCAGGAUCUAUUUUAAUUUACAGGAAGACAACCAGGAAAUAAUUGGCAUAGUGGAAGUAAACUGGAAAUAAGUGUAAUGAAAUUUUUUUAUCGAUAUGAAUUUCAUGAUAAUAACAUUCUAUAAACCUUAAAACACUUCCACAUGGGACCAUACCUCAGCCUACAACGAUGGUUACUACCAAGAAAUUUUAUUAUGGUAUAUACGUAUUAAACGCGUUUCGGAAUGUAAAUUUUAUUUAGAUGCAUUGGUAAAUAUACCAUGUGUUUUUAUACCCCUUUAUAUUGUAAACUGGCUUUAGUAUACAUUUAUAGAAUAUCGA